UACGUAGGGGGCAAGCGUUGUCCGGAAUUAUUGGGCGUAAAGGGCGCGUAGGCGGCCCUCCUAGUCGCGUGUGAAAGCCCCGGGCUCAACCUGGGAACGGCGCGCGAAACGGGGGGGCUGGAGUUCGGGAGAGGAGCGUGGAAUUCCCAGUGUAGAGGUGAAAUUCGUAGAUAUUGGGAAGAACACCGGUGGCGAAGGCGGCGCUCUGGACCGAGACUGACGCUGAGGCGCGAAAGCGUGGGGAGCGAACAGG
rnacentral:rRNA from 1 species